AUACGGAGGGUGCAAGCGUUACUCGGAAUCACUGGGCGUAAAGGACGCGUAGGCGGGAUGCCAAGUCUGAUGUGAAAUCCUAUGGCUCAACCAUAGAACUGCAUUGGAAACUGGUAACCUAGAGUAUGGGAGGGGGAGAUGGAAUUAGUGGUGUAGGGGUAAAAUCCGUAGAUAUCACUAGGAAUACCGAAAGCGAAGGCGAUCUCCUGGAACAUUACUGACGCCAAGGCGUGAAAGCGUGGGGAGCAAACAGGAUUAGAAACCCCAGUAGUCC
rnacentral:rRNA from 1 species